AUUGAACGCUGGCGGCAUGCCUUACACAUGCAAGUCGAACGGGAACAGGUCUUCGGAUGCUGACGAGUGGCGAACGGGUGAGUAAUACAUCGGAACGUGCCUAGUAGUGGGGGAUAACUACUCGAAAGAGUGGCUAAUACCGCAUGAGAUCUACGGAUGAAAGCAGGGGAUCGCAAGGCCUUGUGCUACUAGAGCGGCCGAUGGCAGAUUAGGUAGUUGGUGGGAUAAAAGCUUACCAAGCCGACGAUCUGUAGCUGGUCGGAGAGGACGAUCAGCCACACUGGGACUGAGACACGGCCCAGACUCCUACGGGAGGCAGCAGUGGGGGAUUUUGGACAAUGGGCGCAAGCCUGAUCCAGCAAUGCCGCGUGCAGGAUGAAGGCCUUCGGGUUGUAAACUGCUUUUGUACGGAACGAAAAGCCCUGGGUUAAUACCCUGGGGUCAUGACGGUACCGUAAGAAUAAGCACCGGCUAACUACGUGCCAGCCGCCGCAGUAAUAC
rnacentral:rRNA from 1 species